rnacentral:rRNA from 1 species
UACGGAGGGUGCAAGCGUUAUCCGGAUUCACUGGGUUUAAAGGGUGCGUAGGCGGACAGGUAAGUCAGUGGUGAAAUCUCUGGGCUUAACCCAGAAACUGCCGUUGAUACUAUUGUCUUGAAUAUCCUGGAGGUAGGCGGAAUAUGUCAUGUAGCGGUGAAAUGCUUAGAUAUGACAUAGAACACCGAUAGCGAAGGCAGCUUACUACAGGAUGAUUGACGCUGAGGCACGAAAGCGUGGGGAGCAAACAGG